rnacentral:lncRNA from 1 species
GGUCCAGGGCCGGACGGUAGAGGCCUCCCUUCCGGGGCGGCGGCGGCGGCGCGGGCGCUCCCCGGCGCGAGCCCACGCGUCCUUCCCCUCGAGGUCCCUGCGCGGCGCGGCCCAGCCCGGCGUGAGUACCCCCCACGCGCUCCCCUCCGCCCCCAGGCGGCAGCGCCUGUUCCCUGGAGGUCUGUUCCUCCUUUCCCUCACCUGCUGCUCACCUGCCUCACUGAAGCACCCCAGACGUGAAGACUGAGCCAUAGAAAGGUUA